CAAACGACGCCUUUUUGCGAUUGUUAUAAUAGCUACAGUUUUUUUUGCUGUUUCAUUUGUUACAAAGAACAGAAAAAUAAAAUGAAAGAGGGCUUCCCUUUUCUCUGCUAGGGCUCCAAGCCUAGCUUUGGAACCCCGCCGUCGUCCGCCACAUCUCCACUGCGGCGCCACCAAGGACGGUGGCCGGAGUCACACGGAAAAAUAGAAAGGUUUUUAGCCCAUGCCCACAAAAAUGGGAAAGAAAAAGAAAGUCUUCCUCAUCCCCUCUCUGAAACUCGGCUCCAGCAACGGAGAAAGGGACUCCAACGAUGGGACCGUGACGCCCAGGUGUCAGAGGCGUGGAAGGCCAGUGAUAGGCGAGUGGUGGCGGCGAGCGGCGCAGGCGCGCGAGGAGGCGAAGCGACGGCAGUAGCAGGGCAUGCGGCUAGGGUUUUCUGCUGCUAAAAUUUAGCUGAAAAAUUUGCUUUAGAUUUUGGGCCAUUUGGGCCCUAGAGUUUUGAUUUAUUUGGGUUUAAAUUGGGUUUAUAUUUUUUUUGUAAUUGGACUGUUGGGCAAGGGCAGAUUUUGGGAUUUACACCAAAGAUUUUAAAAAAUCGAUAAAUUCAAGUACACUUUUACAUCUGACAUAUCCUAAUUUAUUAAGUUUUGUAAAAAAAAAAAUUUACGGUGCUAUGACGUUUCGCCCCAAUAUUAAAACAGUUCGCCCCAAUAUUGAAAGAAGGCGGUGUCUACUCCAUCAGUAGGUUCCCAGUGAGACAACAACUAUAGCUAUAAUGCAGUCCCUGGAAACCAUAUCUAACUAGAGCGACCCAAGUUCUCGAGCAUCAAAUGCUCGCCUUUACGUUUGACUUUUAUAUCUCAUGGCUUUUUGCAUCAACGAGUCAAACAUCAUGACAAAUAUUUGACAGGUAUGUUUUAAUAUACUCAUUGAUUCUCUUGAAUACAAUAAUAUCCAAUAAUAUAUUUAAUUAAUUUCUAUAGAUGUUGUUGGAGUUGUCUCAUCUAUUGUUCACAAAGAUUAGAUUGACCAAUAGAGCCAACGAUGAGGAGAAAUGAGAGAUUUUCAUUGAAGAAGGAAGGUAUAAUCAAAACAAAAAUGAAAUUAAAAUUUAAGUAAAGAAUCGAGGGGCAUUCCAACUAAUACUCCAGCUUAUUUAUCAAUUAUUUGCUCCAAUUAAGAUAGUUCUUUACGCUGAUAUGUUAAAUACAAUCAGUGAACAGCAGCUACUUGAUGAUCAUGAUCUUACUUAGAUCUUAUGUACUAUCUACUUAUUGAAUGAAUGUAGGUGAAAUAUAUCUUGCCUCAAACUCAUCCACUAAACUUUAUUUAGAUCUUCACAUUUCUGAAAGUAACUGAGCUCAAAUAAUGGUAUAUAUUUUGAUUAAAACUUUACAUAUCAUCUCAUUUUAUAUGGCCUAUAUUAUUUAUACUAGCUUCCAGUUUUCCUCCUCCUAUAUAGUUGCAAAUGUGAUCCAAACGAAGUGCAAUUCUUCCGGAAGAAGAAAAUCGUCAACAACCAGCUCUUCAAGAGAGACCCAAACAGAAUGCAACAGUAGCUGACCUACUCGCUACACAAUCAAACCCCAGGUUUGGUUAAACGGAAAACUAAAUGGGAACUAACAAUUAAUCAUGGGAUUCUGUGAUCUAUCAUUAAAUCAAUGACUUCUCUUUCGCAUAUGCUUCCUAAAUUUUAUUUGUUUUGCUACAUAUAUUAGUGGAAUUACAACACUUAAUAAAACACAGCCUGACAUAGUUAUACUAUACUUGCUUUCUGGUUAAUUUUAUCCCAUUAUCCCAUUGUUGUGAAUUUCUCACGGCAUUGACGUUGCUAAUUUCCAUUUCCAAUGCUUACUAGGGAUUUAGUGUUUCGCCUAUUUCCAUUAAUUUUAACUCUUUUUAAUAGUUGACCAUUUUCAUCUAUUCUUCAUUUUAUUGCUACUGUUUUUUGUAAUGAUAGAUGACUGAACCAGCAGCACUUUUUAACAUAACAUCAUCAUAUUUGUCUUAAUCCAUUACUAAUUUUGGUCAGAUUUGAUUAUAUUAGGAUAAUACUAUAAGAUAGCAUCUGCAACAACAAGAGCUAGAGACAUGAAACUGUUUUAUUUCCAGUCAUGCUUUUCUUCAAAUCCUGUCCUGCUACUUGUAUGACACAAAUGUGUGCGGUUACAACUCCACACGAGAAGCAUUCACCACACAAGUGCAACUCAAAAAGACCUCUAUCAUGACAAGAGGGUUCUAAAAUCUUACAAUUUUGAUGCCUCCCUCUUUGUGAAGCUAUAGCUAUAGCUGAAAAAAAUGGUGUAUGCUAAUGAAUGAAUUAGGGGUGAGCAUUCGAUCGAAUCAAAUCGAAUCGAAUCGAAAAUUUUCAAGUUAAUCGAGUUUUCGAAUCUCAUUUUAUCAUCCUAACUUUAUUUGAAGUUUUCUCGAAUCGAGUCGAGUGAGAUGGAAUUCGAAUCGAAUCGAAUAUAUUUGUUCGAGUUAAA